ensembl:lncRNA
GGGCACUCGAGGGGGCGGCCCCUCUCCAGAUUCUCUAGAGCUGUUCCUCCUCCCACCCCGGCGCGCCGCCGUCCUCGCUGCCCGCGGAAAACAGGCCUCUCCGUCCGCCCCGCGCACCUCGCAGGGCCCAAGGCUGGCGGUCAAGCCUGGGACUCGGUCACGCCUCCCUGGUCUGUAGCCCGGGGUCAAGGGAGGGGACCCGCCAGACCCUGGAACAGCCCCCUCGGACAGGCCCACUUUCCUGAAGCAAUUUCUCCUCGCAAUGCGCGGUGUCUUCCCCCAAACUCCGUGGGGCUCACAGGAUGUCAUCUCUAGGCCAGCGGGCUCUGAUCCGGAAAGUGAGAAGAAAAUUUUAACCCACCUGUCCGGUGCUGGGCAAAGGAAAGCAGGAACUGAAUGGACUUGCAGGAAGCUGACCCCGCCUUGUAAACCAACAGCACCCUCAUCAGGAUCUUUUCCAAUGAGUCGACUCUUCACAUCAGGUGGCCAAAGUAUUGGAGCUUCAACAUCAGUCCUUCCAAUGACCCUGUGGCCUGGAAGGAGGCAUUUGAGGGCCUGCUGGUCUAUAAGAUGGAGAACAAAAGAGACUCUAUGGGAACACGAUUUUCACAGGUGCAUUUAUUUAUCAGCAUCUCUACUGCAAAUCAGUAAAAACUGCCAUAAAAAGU